UACGUAGGGGGCUAGCGUUGUCCGGAUUUAUUGGGCGUAAAGAGCGUGUAGGCGGCCAGGUAGGUCUGGUGUGAAAACUCGAGGCUUAACCUCGAGAUGUCAUCGGAAACCAUUUGGCUAGAGUCCGGAAGAGGAGAGUGGAAUUCCUGGUGUAGCGGUGAAAUGCGCAGAUAUCAGGAAGAACACCAAUGGCGAAAGCAGCUCUCUGGGACGGUACUGACGCUGAGACGCGAAAGCAUGGGGAGCGAACAGA
rnacentral:rRNA from 1 species